rnacentral:lncRNA from 1 species
CUUGGGUCAUGUGAUGAAAUACCGCACAUAAACUUUUAGCUCUUAUAAUACAAAGUACCGCAAAAUCCUCGAGUAAAUUAAUUUAAUACACCUUAUGUUCAAAGAAAGUACAUUAUGUGCAUUACACAAGACACCACAAUAAUAUACUAAUAAAGUAGUUUCAUUCUUAUAAAUACACUACCAAGAAACAGGCUACAACCACAUAGAAACCUCUAGAUUCAUUUAUCCUCUCUAUAUCUGUAUUCUGUCUUUUAGGAGGAGAAGAGGGGCGACUGCUGAGCAGUGGUGGUAUGUAGGAUUUUUACCAAGCAGAUUCAGAAAAUUAAGAGAAUUAAUAGCUAACUACAUUUACAUUUUUUUUAAUCUUAUAUAUAUACAUAAUGUAAUUUUUCGACGAUCACGACCCUCUUCCGCCAGACUGGCUCCAUUCACCAGCGACCCCGAGAUCUUCCAAACAGGAAACAAGCAAUAGCUACGAUCAAUACCAAUAUAACCAAAGGCAACGAUAUCACUAUAACAUGCAUCUUCUUCUCUGUUAUUGCAAUUUCUGCUUCUCUCUCUUUACAAGUAGUGGUGCGAUUCCUCUACUCCUGCAUUGACACGAAAACAUAAUUUUUCAAGAAACAAGUGCUAUUAAUUAGUAUUAUUGUUUUUUUUAUUGAAGAUGGGAGCAGUCCGGUGUACUAAGCUCCCGCUAUGAUGGGUCCGGAGAAGGGCUAGACCACAAAGGUCUAUUGUAUGCGGCAUUUUCCUCCAUUUCUGGAGGAGACUAUUUUCACGGCUCGAACCCAUGACCUCCUUGUCACACUUUACCAAUUAUAUCAAAGCAUCCCUUCCUAUUGAAGAUAGGAACACUGUUAAUUGAGAGAGAUCUUCUAAUUAGUACCAUUUUGAACAAAUCUAAUUUAUGUGACACCAUUAGGAUUUUGAACUGAGUCACUUAAAGUUUUUCUUUGAUCAUAAAUUUUAAUGUCUUUUAAAUAUUUUAAAUUAUUAAUUAUUGUGACUUGUAGUAGUAAGUAGUUUUUAAAUAUGUAUAUUUUAUUUCAAAAAACUGAAAAAAUUGUCUGAAUCCAUAUAUAAAAUACUAAUAAGUUUGACCUUGAAAUCCAGAUGGUACCACAUAACUUGGGAAAAAGGAAGUACUAAAAUCAUUAACAUGUUUACUUUACACAGUUCAUGUGCUUACGGACAAUUACUCUAUUUCUCUCCAUAUCUCUUAAUCACAUAAGAAAAAAACAUUAAGUCAAGACUAGCCCUAGACAAGACACUUGUAAUUAUUUUCUCUGUUUCAAUUUAGGUGAAACUCUUUAGUAAACCACAUCCAAUUUGUCCGAGAGAUGUUUUAGUAAAAGAAAAGAAGAUAGAGGAGGUUUUCCAUAGACAAAGAAGAAAUGAAUACAUACCUUGUCUAGCAAAACUACAAAGCCAAAACUCACAUAAACAGAGAGGAGGGAGAGUUUGAGAAACUUAAGGGAGAGGCAAAGGCUGAAACUUUGCAGAAAUAAAUGAGCAGUGGAAAGUGAUAUACUAUGUAUUAGCAGAAAAGAGGAAUAAAAAGACAACCAAAAGUGACAUGCAGACAAACCACACACACACGAUGCAAGCAACUUUCUACGUGUAGGCUUUCAGACGAGGUUUCUUCCUUGUCACCACAAUCCCCAAAACUAAUGCAUAACUUGUAGAGCUGAAACACGAACUUUAG